rnacentral:rRNA from 1 species
CAAUAGCGUAUAUUAAAGUUGUUGCAGUUAAAAAGCUCGUAGUUGAAUUUUUGCUUGCCGCCGAUGUCGGAACUUCCGUACGUUCGGCGGCGUGCAUCCUUGGGUGGAACCUGUGUGGCAUUAGGUUGUCGUGCAGGGGAUGCUCAUCGUUUACUGUGAAAAAAUUAGAGUGUUCAAAGCAGGCUUACGCCGUUGAAUAUAUUAGCAUGGAAUAAUAAGAUAGGACCUUGGUACUAUUUUGUUAGUUUGCGCACCGAGGUAAUGAUUAACAGGGACAGUUGGGGGUAUUCGUAUUCCAUUGUCAGAGGUGAAAUUCUUGGAUUUCUGGAAGACGAACUACUGCGAAAGCAUUUACCAAGGAUGUUUUCAUUAA